AUGAUACUCAAGAUCGGCGAGGGCGUCGCUCAUAGCUGCAAGGCGCGUGCGUUGAUAAUCAACACCGCCGCGUCCAUGGAGCGGCCAGCGCUCGCCCACAUCGCGUCGCGCACACGCGACGUCUUCGCGGUAGGUCCACUCCACGCCAGCUCGAGGUCCGCCGCAAGCGCGAGCCUGUGGCGGGAGGACGACGGGUGCAUGGCGUGGCUAGACGGCCACGGCGACCGGUGUGUCGUAUACGUGAGCCUGGGGAGCAUCGCCGUGAUCUCGUACGAGCAGCUCACCGAGUUCCUCUCCGGCCUCGCAGCCACCGGGUACGCCUUCCUCUUGGUGCUCCGGCCGGGCAUGGUCCAGACGGCUAGCUCAGCGCUACUUCGAGAAACCGUCGCGGUAGCGCAAGCCGGCAAGGCCAAGAUCGUGGAGUGGGCUCCUCAGCUGGACGUGCUGCGGCACAGAGCGGUGGGCUGCUUCCUGACACACGCCGGCUGGAACUCCACGCUGGAAUGCGCCGUCGAGGGCGUGCCGAUGGUGUGCUGGCCCUUCUUCCUCGACCAACAGACGAACAGCCGUCUCGUUGGCGCCGUGUGGAGGACGGGGCUGGACAUGAAGGACGUGUGCGACAGGGCUGUCGUGGAGAAGAUGGUGAAGGAGGCCAUGGUGUCCGGCCAGAUCAAGGCAGCGGCCCAAGCCAUGGCGGAGCAGUUGAGGCUGGACAUCGCCGACGGGGGCUCAUCGUCAUCCGAGUUAGGGCGGCUCGUCCGCUUCAUCAGAGGGCUCAGCGUCAAGUCUGGUCCAGAGCCAAGAAUUACUUAA
rnacentral:rRNA from 1 species